rnacentral:rRNA from 1 species
AACGAACGCUGGCGGCGCGCCUAAUACAUGCAAGUCGAGCGAGAAGACGUAGCAAUACGUUUGUAAAGCGGCGAACGGGUGAGGAAUACAUGGGUAACCUACCCUCGAGUGGGGAAUAACUAGCCGAAGGUUAGCUAAUACCGCGUACGCUCCUUGGACUUCGGUUCAGGGAGGGAAAGCGAUACCGUGGGUAUCGCGCUCUUGGAUGGGCUCAUGUCCUAUCAGCUUGUUGGNGAGGUAACGGCUCACCAAGGCUUCGACGGGUAGCUGGUCUGAGAGGACGAUCAGCCACACUGGCACUGCGACACGGGCCAGACUCCUACGGGAGGCAGCAGUAAGGAAUAUUGCGCAAUGGGCGAAAGCCUGACGCAGCGACGCCGC